UGGAACGUGUGCUAAUUGUUGAAACCAUGUUGAAUCUUGUUGUUGAACUUGGUUAUGUUGAUAUUAUUGUUGAACUUGGUGAUGUUGAUAUUAUGGACGAACUGGGUUAUAUUGAAUGUGCAUGUUUAAUACUGUUGGACAAACUUAUUGAACUUAUUUUGCACUAUAAGAACUGUAACAUGUUAGUAUGGAUGUUUGAUACAAACAUGUUGGUUGGGAACACUAGAUUAUUCUAUAUGAUUGGGUUGGAUCAAUUGGUUGUUGUUCCCUUUCUAUCUUUUCACUACUUUAUAAGGGCGGAGGACCUUGUUUGGUAAGUUGAAACUUUAUGCCCAUAUACAGGGUUGCUCAUGGUUAAAGGAAAGGUUGGUUAAGUUGGAAUGAGUCUUGAUUGAUGCUUUUAUGAUCACUUACUUAAUUCCAAGAUAAAAACAGUUGUGAACAAAUGUGAAUUGUCUGUCUUAUGUAAUGGUUGAGUCAUAACGGAAUCUCAAUUUGUAAAUCAUGUAAAGUGAAACUGAAUAGCAAUAGCUUUAGACUGUGCACGUCUGAAGUGACGGACAAACAGGAGUUGGGGUUCAUGGUGGUAGCCCAUGGCCUUUAAUUCGGACCGGAUUAAUCACCGUGUCCUAUUUUUAUUUAAACGUUCCUCGAUAUCGCAGGUCACUGAGGUUACGGAGUCGCGCCCGUACCUCGUCUUCCUUAGUGAAGACUUCUGGAUGGUCAACUCGGUCCAUUGUCUAUUUCAACUAAAAUAAUAUUAUGGUUAUUAAGCCUAGCUUAGUCUAGUCAAGUAUAAUCGUCAAUUUAUUAUGUUUUGUCUGUCCUUACUUAUAUUUAUUAGUAUCAUGUUAGGGUUGUUGGUUUGGUAGUAUCAUGCUAGGAUUGUUGUUGUUUUAGUACGUACAUACCUGUGUGCUUGGAACGUGUGCUAAUUGUUGAAACCAUGUUGAAUCUUGUUGUUGAACUUGGUUAUGUUGAUAUUAUUGUUGAACUUGGUGAUGUUGAUAUUAUGGACGAACUGGGUUAUAUUGAAUGUGCAUGUUUAAUACUGUUGGACAAACUUAUUGAACUUAUUUUGCACUAUAAGAACUGUAACAUGUUAGUAUGGAUGUUUGAUACAAACAUGUUGGUUGGGAACACUAGAUUAUUCUAUAUGAUUGGGUUGGAUCAAUUGGUUGUUGUUCCCUUUCUAUCUUUUCACUACUUUAUAAGGGCGGAGGACCUUGUUUAGUAAGUUGAAACUUUAUGCCCAUAUACAGGGUUGCUCAUGGUUAAAGGAAAGGUUGGUUAAGUUGGAAUGAGUCUUGAUUGAUGCUUUUAUGAUCACUUACUUAAUUCCAAGAUAAAAACAGUUGUGAACAAAUGUGAAUUGUCUGUCUUAUGUAAUGGUUGAGUCAUAACGGAAUCUCAAUUUGUAAAUCAUGUAAAGUGAAACUGAAUAGCAAUAGCUUUAGACUGUGCACGUCUGAAGUGACGGACAAACAGGAGUUGGGGUUCAUGGUGGUAGCCCAUGGCCUUUAAUUCGGACCGGAUUGAUCACCGUGUCCUAUUUUUAUUUAAACGUUCCUCGAUAUCGCAGGUCACUGAGGUUACGGAGUCGCGCCCGUACCUCGUCUUCCUUAGUGAAGACUUCUGGAUGGUCAACUCGGUCCAUUGUCUAUUUCAACUAAAAUAAUAUUAUGGUUAUUAAGCCUAGCUUAGUCUAGUCAAGUAUAAUCGUCAAUUUAUUAUGUUUUGUCUGUCCUUACUUAUAUUUAUUAGUAUCAUGUUAGGGUUGUUGGUUUGGUAGUAUCAUGCUAGGAUUGUUGUUGUUUUAGUAUGUAGUACUCAGCUUUGCUGAUUACGUGCUUUGUUUGUGUGUGUUGAUCAUGGCUAUGCCUUAUUGAUCCUGUGAUGACCCAUCUUUGGUGAGCAGUCUCUAAGGAUCAAUAAGCGUUGCCCAUCUACAGGUUUGAAGAUGAUGCAUCAUUGGGAUCGGGAUUAGAGAGCUUGUAGUUCUAUUCGUUUAAUUAAGUGAUUUAAUUUGUUAACUUGGAUUUGAAAUUUGUCGUACUAUUCGUAUUUCCUUAUUUCAGUUAAUUGGUUUUGGACCUAAUAUGUAAUAAGAUUACUUAUGAACCUAAAAGUUAGUUUUAUGUUUUCCGCUGCAAAAUUCUGAAUAAGCCGUACGUUUUCA